AAAUUGAAGAGUUUGAUCAUGGCUCAGAUUGAACGCUGGCGGCAGGCCUAACACAUGCAAGUCGAACGGUAACAGGAAGCAGCUUGCUGCUUYGCUGACGAGUGGCGGACGGGUGAGUAAUGUCUGGGAAACUGCCUGAUGGAGGGGGAUAACUACUGGAAACGGUAGCUAAUACCGCAUAACGUCGCAAGACCAAAGAGGGGGACCUUCGGGCCUCUUGCCAUCGGAUGUGCCCAGAUGGGAUU
rnacentral:rRNA from 1 species